UACGGGGGGGGCAAGCGUUGUUCGGAAUUACUGGGCGUAAAGGGUGCGCAGGCGGUCUCGUAAGCUGGGUGUGAAAGCCCCGGGCUUAACCUGGGAAUGGCAUUCAGGACUGCGAGGCUUUGAGUGUGGCAGAGGGAGGUGGAAUUCCACGUGUAGCAGUGAAGUGCGUAGAGAUGUGGAGGAACACCGAUGGCGAAGGCAGCCUCCUGGGCCAGCACUGACGCUCAUGCACGAAAGCGUGGGGAGCAAACAGG
rnacentral:rRNA from 1 species